GGACCCGCACAAGCGGUGGAGUAUGUGGCUUAAUUCGAUGCAACGCGAAGAACCUUACCUAGGCUUGACAUGCUUGUCGUACUUUCCCGAAAAGGAGAGGUCACUUCGGGUGGACAAUGCACAGGUGCUGCAUGGCCGUCGUCAGCUCGUGUCGUGAGAUGUUUGGUUAAGUCCAGCAACGAGCGCAACCCCUGUGAACUGUUGCCAGCGCGUAAAGGCGGGGACUCUGUUCAGACUGCCCAGAUCAACUGGGAGGAAGGUGGGGACGACGUCAGGUCAGUAUGGCCCUUACGCCUAGGGCUGCACACGUACUACAAUGCCCAGCACAAUGAGAACCGGACCGCAAGGUGAGGA
rnacentral:rRNA from 1 species